GCCCGAAUAGCUCAGCCGGUAGAGCGACGCUCUCGUAAAGCGUAGGUCAGGGGUUCAAGUCCCCUUUCGGGCU
rnacentral:tRNA from 1 species